rnacentral:rRNA from 1 species
GGAAGUUUGAGGCAAUAACAGGUCUGUGAUGCCCUUAGAUGUCCUGGGCCGCACGCGCGCUACACUGAUACGUGCAACAAGUUCUAUCCUGGGCCGGAAGGUCUCGGGUAAUCUUGAUAAUGCGUAUCGUGAUAGGGAUAGAUCUUUGGAAUUAUAGAUCUUGAACGAGGAAUUCCUAGUAAGCAUAAGUCAUCAGCUUGUGCUGAUUACGUCCCUGCCCUUUGUACACACCGCCCGUCGCUCCUACCGAUUUUGAGUGAUCCGGUGAACCUUCUGGACUGUGCCUGGACUUGAUCCAGGUUGGGAAGUUAAGUAAACCUUAUCACUUAGAGGAAGGAGAAGUCGUAACAAGGUUUCCGUAGGUGAACCUGCAGAAGGAUCAAG